AUUUUGGAGAAAUAGAAACCUAGAGGUCCAGAUCCAGGAAGAGCUGGCAACCAGGGAGGCGGGGGAGAGGCCCUGGGCCGAAAGCUGAGGGUUUGUGUGAAAGUGUAGCCAGGCCUGUCCCCCUGCUCCCCCAGCGCGUCACCCGGGUAUAUCACCAGCCUCAGCCCAUCCUCAGGCAGAAGGACGAAUCUCUUGGGAGAAACCGUUGGGCUAAAACACUGAAUUGCCGACCAGAAGAGGUGGCCUUGUCGCCCUGGCCCUGUGUGAUGGGUUUAACCACGCAGGAAGAUCUUUUUGGGGGCCUUCGCAAUCCUGUUGGGGAGUGUGGCGAGAAAGCGCGUGCAUGUGGGCGAGUGAGGAACAGAGAGAGAGGAAGAGAGAGAAUCCUAAGCAUCCCGACCUGGGGCUCGAACCUGUGAACCGUGAGAUCAGGACCUGAGCUGAAAUCAAGAGUCGGACACUCCACCGACGGAGCCACCCAGAUGAGGGAAACCGAGGCACAGAAAGGUCAGGAGACUUGCCUCAGUUCACAAAGGUAGUAAGUACAGGGGAUGGCCUCUACCGCUCGCAGCCUGGCUCGGGUCGGGGCUCGUAAAAGCUCUUCCGUGUGGCACCCACUGGGAAGACGGUGUUUAGAUGGGAACUCACUCCCUGUGUCCAAGACAUCAGAUGUAUGGAAGUCAAGUGAGAUCUCAAAACCAUGACCUAAAGGUCGUCGCCUCUCUACUUCUUUCCACGGUGUCUACCUUGGAAAGCCAAGCUCCUUGGGAGACUGCUCCUGCUGGUGACAAACGCCGUUUGACACGGGCCUUGAAAACGGAAUGUUCGUUAUCACCCUGAUUAGCCUCAUACUUUGAUAUUUCCUUCUCUGCAAUGCUGCCUAAUGUUUUAUUAUACCAUCUCUUCUUAUCGAGCUCCU